CGGUAGAGAGUCAAUGUGGAGGCUAUAUACAGGGUGUUACGGUAGAGAGUCAAUGUGGAGGCUUUAUACAGGGUGUUACGGUACAGAGUCAAUGUGGAGGCUAUAUACAGGGUGUUACGGUACAGAGUCAGUGUGGAGGCUAUAUACAGGGUGUUACGGUACAGAGUCAGUGUGGAGGCUAUAUACAGGUGGUACCGGUACAGAGUCAAUGUGGAGGCUAUAUACAGGGUGUUACGGUACAGAGUCAGUGUGGUGGCUAUAUACAGGGUGUUACGGUACAGAGUCAAUGUGGAGGCUAUAUACAGGGUGUUACGGUACAGAGUCAAUGUGGAGGCUAUAUACACGGGGUACCGGUACAGAGUCAUUGCGGAGGCUAUAUACAGGGUGUUAUGGUACAGAGUCAAUGUGGAGGCUAUAUACAGGGGGUACCGGCACAGAGUCAAUGUGGAGGCACAGAGUCAAUGUGGAGGCUAUAUACAUGGUGUACCAGUACAGAGUCAAUGUGGAGGCUAUAUACAGGGGGUAG
ensembl:lncRNA